UCAGGCGGGAUUACCCGCUGAGUUUAAGCAUAUCAAUAA
rnacentral:rRNA from 1 species